rnacentral:rRNA from 1 species
AGAACGAACGCUGGCGGCAUGCCUAAUACAUGCAAGUCGAACGAACUCUUCGGAGUUAGUGGCGCACGGGUGCGUAACGCGUGGGAAUCUGCCCCUUGGUUCGGAAUAACAGUUGGAAACGACUGCUAAUACCGGAUGAUGACGAAAGUCCAAAGAUUUAUCGCCAAGGGAUGAGCCCGCGUAGGAUUAGCUAGUUGGUGAGGUAAAGGCUCACCAAGGCAACGAUCCUUAGCUGGUCUGAGAGGAUGAUCAGCCACACUGGGACUGAGACACGGCCCAGACUCCUACGGGAGCAGCAGUAGGGAAUAGUUGGACAAGU